CAACUGAAAAACUAUUAUAAGCAAUAAAAAUUGAACAAAGUGGGUGGAUAUGCAAGGUAAAAUACAGAAACUGGGCUGGUAUAACUCAGGGGUAAGGUACACACUUAGCAUGCAUGAGCCUCUGGAGUCAAUCCUGGUACCAAAAAAGUAAAACAAAAUAUGGAAAUAACCAGCCUUUAUAUUUAUACAAACACCAAUUAGAAUGCAUAACAGAAGAAAAAACUUUAUUAUCAUAAACAUGACAAGAAAUUAACUCAGUGAGAAGUAUGCAAAGCCUAUAAGAAGAAAUCUCUCUCUCUCUCACUCUCUCUCUCUCUCUCUCUCUCUUUCAGAUCUCAUCAUGUUGCUUAGGCCAGUCUCCUGGACUCAAGGAACCCUGCUGCAUCAGCCUCCCAAUAGACUAAGACUAUUGUGCCUAGAUUGGAAGACAUCCAUCUUAUUCCUAAAACGCUCCUUAGAGAUGCACACAAAAGAAACUUUAAACAAAGUGAGAGAGAAUACCAGGGAAGGGAGUGUUGAGACGUUGAGAGACACAAAGACAUCACUCUGAAUAUGUAAGUCAAAUUUAACAUAAUCCCAACCUGAAUAACAAUUGAAUUUUUUUUGUUGUUGUUGUUGUUUUGUCAGAGUCUCACUAUGUAGUUGAGACUGACCUGGAACUCACUAUGUAGCUCAGGCUGGUCUCAAACUCACAGGGAUCCUCCUGCUUCAGCCUCCCAAGUGCUGGGAUUACAGGUAUGCACCACCACUCUUGACUGACAAUCAAAUUUUUUUUAACAAGAUAAGAUGAUUCUAGUUCACAUUAAAAAGCCAGAGAAAAAUCCAGGCAAGUUCUGAAAACACAUACAGAGGAGUAGAAAGCUUUAGGAGAUAAUAAAUGUGUUAUAAAACUAUAAUACUUGAAAUGGUGUGGUAAUGACUCAUGAAUGAGAUGAAGAGGACAGAAAAGAUUAAGAAGAAGCCCACAUAUA
rnacentral:lncRNA from 1 species